rnacentral:rRNA from 1 species
CGGGCGGAGCUAAUACAUGCAGUCGACGAACUCUGGUAUUGAUUGGUGCUUGCAUCAUGAUUUACAUUUGAGUGAGUGGCGAACUGGUGAGUAACACGUGGGAAACCUGCCCAGAAGCGGGGGAUAACACCUGGAAACAGAUGCUAAUACCGCAUAACAACUUGGACCGCAUGGUCCGAGUUUGAAAGAUGGCUUCGGCUAUCACUUUUGGAUGGUCCCGCGGCGUAUUAGCUAGAUGGUGGGGUAACGGCUCACCAUGGCAAUGAUACGUAGCCGACCUGAGAGGGUAAUCGGCCACAUUGGGACUGAGACACGGCCCAAACUCCUACGGGAGGCAGCAGUAGGGAAUCUUCCACAAUGGACGAAAGUCUGAUGGAGCAACGCCGCGUGAGUGAAGAAGGGUUUCGGCUCGUAAAACUCUGUUGUUAAAGAAGAACAUAUCUGAGAGUAACUGUUCAGGUAUUGACGGUAUUUAACCAGAAAGCCACGGCUAACUACGUGCCAGCAGCCGCGGUAAUACGUAGGUGGCAAGCGUUGUCCGGAUUUAUUGGGCGUAAAGCGAGCGCAGGCGGUUUUUUAAGUCUGAUGUGAAAGCCUUCGGCUCAACCGAAGAAGUGCAUCGGAAACUGGGAAACUUGAGUGCAGAAGAGGACAGUGGAACUCCAUGUGUAGCGGUGAAAUGCGUAGAUAUAUGGAAGAACACCAGUGGCGAAGGCGGCUGUCUGGUCUGUAACUGACGCUGAGGCUCGAAAGUAUGGGUAGCAAACAGGAUUAGAUACCCUGGUAGUCCAUACCGUAAACGAUGAAUGCUAAGUGUUGGAGGGUUUCCGCCCUUCAGUGCUGCAGCUAACGCAUUAAGCAUUCCGCCUGGGGAGUACGGCCGCAAGGCUGAAACUCAAAGGAAUUGACGGGGGCCCGCACAAGCGGUGGAGCAUGUGGUUUAAUUCCAAGCUACGCGAAGAACCUUACCAGGUCUUGACAUACUAUGCAAAUCUAAGAGAUUAAACGUUCCCUUCGGGGACAUGGAUACAGGUGGUGCAUGGUUGUCGUCAGCUCCUGUCGUGAGAUGUUGGGUUAAUUCCCGCAACGAGCGCAACCCUUAUUAUCAGUUGCCAGCAUUA